GACGAACGCUGGCGGCGUGCCUAAUACAUGCAAGUCGAACGCUGAAGGAGGAGCUUGCUUCUCUGGAUGAGUUGCGAACGGGUGAGUAACGCGUAGGUAACCUGCCUUGUAGCGGGGGAUAACUAAUGGAAACGAUAGCUAAUACCGCAUAAGAGUAGAUGUUGCAUGACCUUUGCUUAAAAGGUGUAAUUGCAUCACUACCAGGUGGUCCUGCGUUGUAUUAGCUAGUUGGUGGGGUAACGGCUUACCAAGGCGACGAUACAUAGCCGACCUGAGUGGGGGAUUGGACACUCUGGGACGGAGACAGGGCCCAGACACAUUCGUGAGGCAGCAGUAGGGGAUGUUCAGUGAUGGACGGAAGUCUGACCGAGCAAGGCAGCGUGCGUGAAGAAGGUAUGCGUUUCGGAUGGCACCGUCGUAAGCGAGGAACGAGGGUGUGCGUGGAAAGUUCACAGGUUGACGGUAGCUGACCAGAAAGGGACGGCUAACUACGUG
rnacentral:rRNA from 1 species